rnacentral:rRNA from 1 species
CCUACGGGUGGCAGCAGUGAGGAAUAUUGGUCAAUGGACGAGAGUCUGAACCAGCCAAGUAGCGUGAAGGAUGACUGCCCUAUGGGUUGUAAACUUCUUUUAUAUGGGAAUAAAACGUUCCACGUGUGGGAUUUUGUAUGUACCAUAUGAAUAAGGAUCGGCUAACUCCGUGCCAGCAGCCGCGGUAAUACGGAGGAUCCGAGCGUUAUCCGGAUUUAUUGGGUUUAAAGGGAGCGUAGGUGGAUUGUUAAGUCAGUUGUGAAAGUUUGCGGCUCAACCGUAAAAUUGCAGUUGAAACUGGCAGUCUUGAGUAGAGUAGAGGUGGGCGGAAUUCGUGGUGUAGCGGUGAAAUGCUUAGAUAUCACGAAGAACUCCGAUUGCGAAGGCAGUUCACUGGACUGCAACUGACACUGAGGCUCGAAAGUGUGGGUAUCAAACAGGAUUAGAUACCCUUGUAGUC